rnacentral:snoRNA from 1 species
UUGCAAUGAUGACUUUCUUAGGACACCUUUGGAUCAGCCGUGAAAAUAAUAUAUGUAUUCUGAGCCAU